UACGAAGGGGGCUAGCGUUGCUCGGAAUUACUGGGCGUAAAGGGCGCGUAGGCGGGUCGUUUAGUUAGAGGUGAAAGCCCAGGGCUCAACCCUGGAAUUGCCUUUAAUACUGGCGGCCUUGAGUAUGGCAGAGGUGUGUGGAACUCCGAGUGUAGAGGUGAAAUUCGUAGAUAUUCGGAAGAACACCAGUGGCGAAGGCGGCUCUCUGGACCGUAACUGACGCUGAGGCGCGAAAGCGUGGGGAGCAAACAGG
rnacentral:rRNA from 1 species